UACGUAGGGCGCAAGCGUUGUCCGGAAUUAUUGGGCGUAAAGAGCUCGUAGGCGGCUUGUCACGUCGGAUGUGAAAGCCCCGGGGCUUAACCCCGGGUCUGCAUUCGAUACGGGGCUAGCUAGAGUGUGGUAGGGGAGAUCGGAAUUCCUGGUGUAGCGGUGAAAUGCGUAGAUAUCGGGAGGAACACCAGUGGCGAAGGCGACUACCUGGCCUGUUCUUGACGCUGAGGCGCGAAAGCUAGGGGAGCAAACGGG
rnacentral:rRNA from 1 species